rnacentral:rRNA from 1 species
GAGCACGUAGGUGGGUUUGUAAGUCAGAUGUGAAAGCCUUCUGUUCAACGGAAGAAUUGCAUCUGAAACUGUGAGUCUUGAGUGUAGGAGGGGAGAAUGGAACUUCUGGUGGAGCGGUGAAAUGCGUAGAUAUCAGAAGGAACGCCGGCGGCGAAAGCGAUUCUCUGGCCUAUUACUGACACUCAGUGUGCGAAAGCUAGGGGAGCAAACGGGAUUAGAUACCCCGGUAGUCCUAGCCGUAAACGAUGGGCACUAAGUAGAGGGGUUUU